rnacentral:rRNA from 1 species
GAAUCUGCCUGGUAGUGGGGGAUAACGUUCGGAAACGGACGCUAAUACCGCAUACGUCCUACGGGAGAAAGCAGGGGACCUUCGGGCCUUGCGCUAUCAGAUGAGCCUAGGUCGGAUUAGCUAGUUGGUGGGGUAAUGGCUCACCAAGGCGACGAUCCGUAACUGGUCUGAGAGGAUGAUCAGUCACACUGGAACUGAGACACGGUCCAGACUCCUACGGGAGGCAGCAGUGGGGAAUAUUGGACAAUGGGCGAAAGCCUGAUCCAGCCAUGCCGCGUGUGUGAAGAAGGUCUUCGGAUUGUAAAGCACUUUAAGUUGGGAGGAAGGGUUGUAGAUUAAUACUCUGCAAUUUUGACGUUACCGACAGAAUAAGCACCGGCUAACUCUGUGCCAGCAGCCGCGGUAAUACAGAGGGUGCAAGCGUUAAUCGGAAUUACUGGGCGUAAAGCGCGCGUAGGUGGUUUGUUAAGUUGGAUGUGAAAUCCCCGGGCUCAACCUGGGAACUGCAUUCAAAACUGACUGACUAGAGUAUGGUAGAGGGUG